CCUACGGGUGGCAGCAGUGGGGGAUAUUGCACAAUGGGGGAAACCCUGAUGCAGCGACGCCGCGUGUGGGAAGACGGUCCUCUGGAUUGUAAACCACUGUCCCCAGUGACGAAGAUGACGGUACCUGGGGAGGAAGCUCCGGCUAACUACGUGCCAGCCGCCGCGGUCAUACGUAGGGAGCGAGCGGUGUCCGGAAUUACUGGGUGGAAAGGUAGCGUAGGCGGGGAUGCAAGUUGGGUGUCAAAACUACCGGCUCAACUGGUAGUCGCACUCAAAACUGCAGCUCUUGAGUGAAGUAGAGGCAGGCGGAAUUCCUAGUGUAGCGGUGAAAUGCGUCGAGAUGAGGAGGAACACCAGUGGCGAAGGCGGCCUGCUGGGCUUUUACUGACGAUGAGGCUCGAAAGUGUGGGGAGCAAACAGGAUUAGAUACCCUAGUAGUC
rnacentral:rRNA from 1 species